rnacentral:rRNA from 1 species
CAAUAGCGUAUAUUAAAGUUGUUGCAGUUAAAAAGCUCGUAGUUGAAUUUUUGCUUGCCGCCGAUGUCGGAACUUCCGUACGUUCGGCGGCGUGCAUCCUUGGGUGGAACCUGUGUGGCAUUAGGUUGUCGUGCAGGGGAUGCUCAUCGUUUACUGUGAAAAAAUUAGAGUGUUCAAAGCAGGCUUACGCCGUUGAAUAUAUUAGCAUGGAAUAAUAAGAUAGGACCUUGGUACUAUUUUGUUGGUUUGCGCACCGAGGUAAUGAUUAACAGGGACAGUUGGGGGUAUUCGUAUUCCAUUGUCAGAGGUGAAAUUCUUGGAUUUCUGGAAGACGAACUACUGCGAAAGCAUUUACCAAGGAUGUUUUCAUUA